rnacentral:tRNA from 1 species
GGGAAGGUGGCUCAGUGGUAGAGCACUUGCCUUGCAUGCAUGAGGCCGUGGGUUUGAUUCCUCAGUACCA